rnacentral:rRNA from 1 species
GACGAACGCUGGCGGCGUGCCUAAUACAUGCAAGUAGAACGCUGAAGGAGGAGCUUGCUUCUCCGGAUGAGUUGCGAACGGGUGAGUAACGCGUAGGUAACCUGCCUGGUAGCGGGGGAUAACUAUUGGAAACGAUAGCUAAUACCGCAUAACAGUAGAUGUUGCAUGACAUUUGCUUAAAAGGUGCAAUUGCAUCACUACCAGAUGGACCUGCGUUGUAUUAGCUAGUUGGUGAGGUAACGGCUCACCAAGGCGACGAUACAUAGCCGACCUGGGAGGGGGAUCGGCCAAACUGGGACUGAGACACGGCCCAGACUCCUACGGGAGGCAGCAGGAGGGAAUCUUCGGCAAUGGACGGAAGUCUGACCGGGCAACGCCGCGGGAGUGAAGAAGGGUGUCGGAUCGUAAAGCUCUGUUGUAAGAGAAGAACGAGUGUGAGAGUGGAAAGUUCACACUGUGACGGUAUCUUACCAGAAAGGGACGGCUAACUACGUG